UGCAGAUCCAGAGUUAUUUCCUAUUGUUGAACUGAUUAGAGCCCGUAGAGAUUUUGAAAUUACGGCAGCCAUAGUGACAGCUGUGGCGGUAUCUGCUGCUGCAGCAGUUAUAGCUGGAGUAGCCAUAGCCAGCCAAAUUCAAACUGCUGCCACUAUUAAUCAGGUUAUUCAACAAACAUCCACCAUACUUGAGUCUCAAAGUAAAAUUAAUCAACACACUUUAUCUGGGAUUCUAGCUGCUAAUCAAAGGAUAGAUCUGCUUCAAGCUCAAGUUGAGGAAUUGUNGGGUUGUGUUGAUCAACGUGCACAUUUAUGUAUAACCUCUGUCAGAUUUUAUGAUUCCAGAAAUGCCUCCCACAUCAUCGGGGAGUAUCCAUCCGGAACCUGGUCCAUGGAAGCAGAAAACAUGAUCCAGUCUCAACUAACCCAGAUAGCUGUCUUGAACAGUACCCGUGUCGAUCCCGUGACUUUGGGUCAAUUCACCGAUUGGAUAUCUUCUGCUUUUUCCUUCUUCAAAGAGUGGGUGGGAGUAGGCAUUUUUGGUGCAAUGUGUUGCUUCAGUGUUGUACUCUGUUUGUGGCUUCUCUGUCGCCUUAAAACUCGCCAUGCACAAGAAAAGGCUAUGAUCAUACAAGCUCUUNAUUGUCUGACCUAGUACAUUUGGGUUGUGUUGAUCAACGUGCACAUUUAUGUAUAACCUCUGUCAGAUUUAAUGAUUCCAAAAAUGCCUCCCGCAUCAUUGGCAAAUAUUUGGCCGAAAAUUGGUCCAUGGCAGCAGAAAACUUGAUCCAGUCUCAACUAACUCAGAUUGCUGUUUUAAACAAUACCCGUGUUGAACCAGUGACUUUGGGUCAAUUCACCGAUUGGAUAUCUUCUGCUUUUUCCUUCUUCAAAGAGUGGGUGGGAGUAGACAUUUUUGGUACAAUGUGUUGCUUCAGUGUUGUACUCUGUUUGUGGCUUCUCUGUCGCCUUAAGGCCCACAGUGCUCACGAUAAGGCUAUGAUCAUACAAGCUCUUGCAGCUUUAAAAAAUGGCAACUCACCUCAAGUCUGGCUUGCACAUCUUAAGCAGUAAACCUUUGUCAUGGUCGUUACACCCCAAGUUAUUAUAACAUUGCACUGGGAUCGACAUGACUUUCCUUGUUAUUCUCUUAGUGUUGGAAAGCCCUUACACUCUGCCGGUCUUACUGCCAUUGCACGCAGAUGGGUUUCCACACUAGUGCUUUUCUAUCGCCUUGAAGUUCGUGCCUUUCUUUCAGGGUGCUGUCAACUUGUUUGUCCUUAUAAACAGUCACAGUUCAGCCUCAGCUAUCCCCCUUCGUCCACCAUCGUCACGAUACAGGAUGCGAGACAAGGCA
rnacentral:lncRNA from 1 species